rnacentral:rRNA from 1 species
UACGUAGGUCCCGAGCGUUGUCCGGAUUUAUUGGGCGUAAAGCGAGCGCAGGUGGUUUAUUAAGUCUGGUGUAAAAGGCAGUGGCUCAACCAUUGUAUGCGUUGGAAACUGGUAGACUUGGGUGCAGGAGAGGAGAGUGGAAUUCCAUGUGUAGCGGUGAAAUGCGUAGAUAUAUGGAGGAACACCGGUGGCGAAAGCGGCUCUCUGGCCUGUAACUGACACUGAGGCUCGAAAGCGUGGGGAGCAAACAGG